AACCUUAUGGACCUGCGGGCGUAUACCUGCGGAAGGAUCAUUAUUGAAUUUAAACAAAGGGUAUUUAGGUUGUAGCUGGCUCCAUUAGUUUGGAGCAUGUGCACACCUUUUGCUCUUUUUUAAUCCACACACACCUGUGAACCUGUGAGGCAGAGACAUGGAUGGGAAAACUUUCAUUUACUUUAAAUAAGUGAAUGGGACUCCUACCCCCCCCUCUGUCUACUCAACUCUAAUAUAAAC
rnacentral:misc_RNA from 1 species